rfam:Aedes aegypti strain Liverpool supercont1.1 genomic scaffold, whole genome shotgun sequence.
ACAAGGGCCCUUUUCAGGGCCACAAUUGAUUAAUUUAUUUAUUUAGU